rnacentral:rRNA from 1 species
AACUACUGUCUUCGGGCAGUUCUCUUUUCAAAAAGAUGAUUCAUAAUAACUAAGCGAAUCGUUGGGGGAGACUCUAACGAUGAUUCAUUCAAAUUUCUGCCCUAUCAACUUUCGUUGUUAAGAUAGAGGCUUAACAAGGUUAUCACGGGUAACAGAGAAUCAGGGUUUGGUUCUGGAGAAGGAGCAUGAGAUUCGGCUCCUAUCGCUAAGGCGAGCAGCAGGCGCGCAAAUUACCCAAUGCCAACACGGUGAGGUAGUGACAAGAAAUAACAAAACGGGUCAUGAUACAUGUCUUGUUAUUGUAAUGAGAACAAAUUAAAAACUCUUAUCGAGCAUCAAUUGGAGGGCAAGUCUGGUGCCAGCAGCCGCGGUAAUUCCAGCUCCAAUAGCGUAUAUUAAUUUUGCUGCAGUUAAAAAGCUCGUAGUUGGAUCUUGAAGAAUGAGGAAUGUUUUUGAUCUUAACUUGAUAAAAGUUAAAGUAUCAGCUUCUUUGUUCUUUGAUAUACUUUAUAAAAACAAAUACUAAGCUAUUAGUUUAGCUUAGUGUGCAUGAGGCUUCGGCUUUAUGCUGCAGGGAGUUUGUUGGCACGGUUUCGGCUGUGUUGCUUUCUCUUUUUGUAUUGUUUUAUAUUAUUUACUUUGAAAAAAUUAGAGUGUUUAAAGCAGGACAAUUAUGUCCAUUGAAUAUAUUAGCAUGGGAUGAUAGAAAAAGACAAAUAUCUUUGUUAUUUGGUUUUAGCGAAAAGAUUUAAUUUGUAAUGAUUAAAAGGGAUAGUUGGGGUGGUUUGUAUUGAAUGGGAAGAGGUGAAAUUCAUGGAUUCAUUCAAGACAAACUUCUGCGAAGGCAUUCCACAAAAAUGUUUUCAUUAAUCAAGAACGAAAGUUGGGGGCUAGAAGACGAUCAGAUACCGUCGUAUUCCUGACCGUAAACUAUGCCGACCAAGGAUAGAGGAACGAUAGAAAAUGGCGUUAGGGAGGUGGGUUUCAUUUCAGAGAGGGCUUGCUCUCUUUGAUUUGAUUCGGCCAUUCUCUUUGACCCAUUUUUUUUCAUUGUCUUCCCCUGCACUUUUGCGAGAAAUCAUUGAGUCUUUGGGUUUUGGGGGGAGUAUAGUCGCAAGGCUGAAACUUAAAGGAAUUGACGGAAGGCUACCACCAGGAGUGGAGUGUGCGGUUCAAUUUGAUCCAACGCGGGAAAACUCACCAGGACCGAACUAUGUUAGGAUUGACAGAUUGAAAGCUCUUUCUUGAUUCGUAGGGUGGUGGUGCAUGGCCGUUCUUAGUUGGUGGUGUGAAUUGUCUGGUUGAUUCCGUUAACGAGCGAGAUCUUCGGAAUUUAAUUGAGUUUAUAGAAUGAGAGGCUUAAAGGCUUGCGCUUUGGAUGCAUUA